UUCUGAGGAGGAAAGCGGGGGACCUUCGGGCCUCGCGCUCAAGGGGCGGCCGAUGGCGGAUUAGGUAGUUGGUGGGGUAAAGGCNUACCAAGCCGACGAUCCGUAGCUGGUCUGAGAGGACGACCAGCCACACUGGGACUGAGACACGGCCCAGACUCCUACGGGAGGCAGCAGUGGGGAAUUUUGGACAAUGGGGGCAACCCUGAUCCAGCAAUGCCGCGUGUGUGAAGAAGGCCUUCGGGUUGUAAAGCACUUUUGUCCGGAAAGAAAUCAUCGGGGCCAAUACCCCUGGUGGAUGACGGUACCAGAAGAAUAA
rnacentral:rRNA from 1 species